AUUGAACGCUGGCGGCAGGCCUAACACAUGCAAGUCGAGCGGGGUUUUCGGACCUAGCGGCGGACGGGUGAGUAAUGCGUAGGAAGCUACCCGAUAGAGGGGAUACCAGUUGGAAACGACUGUUAAUACCGCAUAAUGUCUACGGACCAAAGUGUGGGACCUUCGGGCCACAUGCUAUCGGAUGCGCCUACGUGGGAUUAGCUAGUUGGUGAGGUAAUGGCUCACCAAGGCGACGAUCUCUAGCUGGUUUGAGAGGAUGAUCAGCCACACUGGAACUGAGACACGGUCCAGACUCCUACGGGAGGCAGCAGUGGGGAAUAUUGGACAAUGGGCGCAAGCCUGAUCCAGCCAUGCCGCGUGUGUGAAGAA
rnacentral:rRNA from 1 species